CCUACGGGUGGCAGCAGUGAGGACUAUUGGUCAAUGGGCGGAAGCCUGAACCAGCCAAGUCGCGUGCGGGAUGAAGGCCCUACGGGUCGUAAACCGCUUUUGCACGGGGAUAACACCCUCCCCUUGUGGAGGUCUGCAGGUACCGUGCGAAUAAGGGACGGCUAAUUCCGUGCCAGCAGCCGCGGUAAUACGGAGGAUGCGAGCGUUAUCCGGCUUUAUUGGGUUUAAAGGGUGCGUAGGCGGAAUGCCAAGUCAGCGGUAAAAUCGCGGGGCUCAACCUCGCUCCGCCGUUGAGACUGGAGUUCUUGAGUGGGCGAGAAGUAUGCGGAAUGCGUGGUGUAGCGGUGAAAUGCAUAGAUAUCACGCAGAACUCCGAUUGCGAAGGCAGCAUACCGGCGCCCAACUGACGCUGAAGCACGAGAGCGUGGGUAUCGAACAGGAUUAGAUACCCUUGUAGUC
rnacentral:rRNA from 1 species